rnacentral:rRNA from 1 species
UUACCUAGAGUUGUAGGCUUUGCCUGCUAUCUCUUACCCAUGUCUUUUGAGUACCUUCGUUUCCUCGGCGGGUUCGCCCGCCGAUUGGACAAUUUAAACCAUUUGCAGUUGCAAUCAGCGUCUGAAAAAACAUAAUAGUUACAACUUUCAACAACGGAUCUCUUGGUUCUGGCAUCGAUGAAGAACGCAGCGAAAUGCGAUAAGUAGUGUGAAUUGCAGAAUUCAGUGAAUCAUCGAAUCUUUGAACGCACAUUGCGCCCCUUGGUAUUCCAUGGGGCAUGCCUGUUCGAGCGUCAUUUGUACCUUCAAGCUCUGCUUGGUGUUGGGUGUUUGUCUCGCCUCUGCGUGUAGACUCGCCUCAAAACAAUUGGCAGCCGGCGUAUUGAUUUCGGAGCGCAGUACAUCUCGCGCUUUGCACUCAGAACGACGACGUCCAAAAGUACAUUUUUACACUCUUGACCUCGGAUCAGGUAGGGAUACCCGCUGAACUUAAGCAUAUCA